rnacentral:rRNA from 1 species
GACGUAGGGGGCAAGCGUUGUCCGGAAUCAUUGGGCGUAAAGAGCGUGUAGGCGGCUUGGUAAGUCCGCUGUGAAAGUCCAGGGCUCAACCCUGGAAUGCCGGUGGAAACUGUCAAGCUUGAGUCCGGAAGAGGCGAGUGGAAUUCCUGGUGUAGCGGUGAAAUGCGCAGAUAUCAGGAGGAACACCAAUGGCGAAGGCAGCUCGCUGGGACGGUACUGACGCUGAGACGCGAAAGCGUGAGGAGCAAACAGG